rnacentral:rRNA from 1 species
GACGAACGCUGGCGGCGUGCUUAACACAUGCAAGUCGAACGAAGUUGCGAACGGGUGAGUAACGCGUCAUCAACCUGCCCUUCAGAGGGGGACAACAGUUGGAAACGACUGCUAAUACCGCAUACUGAAGGAGGGGCUUGCGUCUGAUUCGCUAGUUGGAGGGGUAACGGCCCACCAAGGCGAUGCUCAGUAGCCGGUCUGAGAGGAUGAGCGGCCAAAUGGGGACUGAUACACGGCAAAGAGUCCUACGGGAGGCAGCAGUGGGGAAUCGUCCGCAAUGGACGAAAGUCGGACGGAGCAACGCCGCGUGAGUGAUGACGGCCUUCGGGUGGUAAAGCUCUGUGAAUCGGGACGCGGUACCGGAAUAGAAAGCCACGGCUAACUACGUGCCAGCAGCCGCGGUAAUAC